rnacentral:lncRNA from 1 species
UCUGGUGUAUUUGAAAGGAGCACAUGUGACUCCUGUGAAUCAUAAGCAUAAAUUCCGGCCACCAGGCCUGCUCGUGAGAUCUGUACAGUUUCUGCUGGUGAGUCAUCUGAUUGCCAAAGUAAUACAUGCAGCUUUUCAGUAUGAUUUCAUCAGAUUCUAGGUCCAAUUGAUACUUAGAUGCCUGUGAUGUCAAUUCCUUUUCCAUAAUCUAAUACAGUGAAAACUGUUUCCCUGAAUAUUUUCAACAUGAAUGUGCAAAGAGUAAUUUAGGCUGAUGCAAUCGGCUAUAAAUCACCUGAGCCGAGAUUCAUUUAGAAUGAUCUAAUGAAAACAUGGACUCCCCAUAUUCACAGCAGAGAAGUUUUUCACAUUGAACACAGACCAGAGAAGUGUUUCCACUAAUUUAUAGGAUGAAAAAAAAAAAAAAACUACUGCCUUUCAUUUCUCUACUCUUCCGACAACUCUGAGAACAAUGGUUCCUGAGAGUGACAAUAUCUGAGGAAAGAGCAGGUCCUGCAACCAACGAGAAAUUCUCCUGCAGCAUUUCAAAGCAGUUUACAUGAGCACAAUUCAGAUGGAUGUGUUUUCAACCACACACCUGGCAAGUCACCACACAGUGCUGUGCAACUGAUAUCAUUUGAGAAGAAGAGGAUAACUGAGUUCCUGUUGGAAAAACAGCAAUUUGAAAGUACUGCUUAAAUGAACACAAGAUGGUGUCAGGAUUCCAAGUUUCUAGUUCUUUCUAGGGAGUUACCUAAGGUCUAAGUUUUAUCCUGAACAGAAUCUCUUGGGGAACUAAAAUGCUACCAAUGAAAAGCUCUUGAUACUCCUACAUCAUGAAUAUUAUUGAGCUCUAAAACUUGAACUGGUCGUGUCAGGAGAACCUUUAACUGCUCAUGGCAGUUCUUGUGGACUGAGAGGAAGUACUACUGGAGAUCUUGGUGAUAGUGGCCAAAAGGAAAGGGUAUGAUUAUGAUUGCUGGGAAGCAGAUGGCUUUUGAAUAUGUUCAUCCAAAUCCUAAGCCAGAGACUGUGUUUAGUGCUUGUUCCUCCUGGGAAGGCUUAUGGUAAACAAAAAUACAGUUUAACAUGUUUAAUGUUUUGAAAUUCUGGGAGAAGAAUAGAAAUAUUCAUUUGUUCCUAGGUGUCCACAUGAGCAUGGAGGUAUUCUAAAGUGUAAGAAGUGACAGCAUAGGCAUGGUUAAAAUCUCAGAUUCUGACCUCAUCCUGGCUCCUCCACUUACUACCUUCAGCAUUAGCUCAAUAAACCUCAAUGCUUUGUCUAUAAGAUUAUGGUGACAAUUACAUUUAGUUAAAAGAUUAUAAAGUUUCGGCCGUACACGGUGGCUCACGCCUGUAAUCCCAGCACUUUGAGAGGCCGUGGCGGAUCACGAGGUCAGGAGAUAGAGACCAUCCUAGCUAACACGGUGAAACCCUG